CUACGAGCCACUCGAGAAUUCAGGACAAUAUUUAGCUGAAGUGGAAAAUUCCAAACGCCUAUAGAAUAGAAUUUUGGCUCCACUAUCCAAACCGAGUGCAACAGACAGAGUCGCAGUCCUUCUUUACUCCUCCGUUCUCCUUAAAUUUGAAUUUUGAGGAAAUGGUAGAACCAGAAACUACAGAUUUCAUUCUCCUGUUUACCUUCGGUAAUUUUCUCUGUCUAAAUUGAGCUUUUCUUGCUGAAGUAUAGUUCCAUUUUUUUUGCAUAUUUCCAUGAAUCUAACUCAGAAAUCAAUCAAAUACACAUGUUCGAGUAGAAAUUUAUUAAUUGAUUUCAAGAAUUUGCAGUCAAGAUUGAAUUUUACAUCAUUGUCAUCAUCAAAUUUUCUCCAAACUUUAACAGUAAAUAAUGGGUCCAGACCCAUUUCAAACUCCCUUCACAACUUUCUACCUGAAACCCAAAACCCUCAAAACAUUGUUAGUCUGAUAUGCUCGGCACUAAAGAACAAAAACAAUGGCCAUUUGGUCCUUCUUCAGAAAACCAUCGAAAAUCAUGGGCUUAUUGGUUAUCUCCGUAACACUGAAAUCUCAAGGGUCCUGUUGAGAUGCCAGUCUGAUUCAUCUACCGCUCUUAGCUUCUUCAACUGGGUCAAGACUGAUUUAGGUGUCAAACCUAACACUCAAAACUACUGUCUUGUUAUUCAUAUAUUGACUUGGUCAAAAAACUUUUCACAAGCAAUGAAAAUUUUGUCUGAAUUGGUUAAUUUGAAGAGAGAUGGACCGGUCAGCGUAGAUGUGUUUGAGAGUUUGCUUUCAGCUAGUGGUGUAUGCAAUUGGGACCCUGUUGUGUUUGAUAUGCUAAUUAAGGCUUUUCUCAAGGUGAAUAUGGUGAAAGAUGGUUUUAGAGCUUUUAGAAAGACGGUGAAGCAUGGUAUGUACCCGACUGUUAUUACCAUAAACUGUCUUUUAAAUGGUCUUUCAAAGUUAAAUUAUAGUAAAAAAUGUUGGGAAGUAUAUGCUGAAAUGGAAAGAAUAGGAGUGCACCCAAAUUCGUGUACCUUCAAUAUAUUAACUCUUGUCUUGUGCAAGGAUGAAGAUGCGAACAAGGUCAAUGAUUUCUUGGAGAAAAUGGAAGAAGAAGGGUUUCAACCUGAUAUAGUUACAUAUAAUACAUUAGUUAGUAGCUAUUGUAGGAAAGAAAGAUUGAAAGAUGCAGUCUACUUGUAUCAAAUUAUGUACAUUAGAGGCGUAUUACCAGAUUUGUUCACAUACACUAGUUUGAUAAAUGGCUUUUGUAGGAAAGGAAAUGUGAGAGAUGCUCAUCAGUUGUUCCUGAGAAUGGCUGACAGAGGGUUAAAACCAGAUCUUAUUUUGUAUAACACUCUUAUUUGUGGUUAUUGCAAAGAGGGGAUGAUGCAAGAAGCACGGUUUCUUUUGCAUGACAUGAUUGGAGAAGGGAUGUACCCUGAUAAGUUCACUUGUUCGGUUCUUGUACAAGGAUAUCAAAAUCAGGAUAACCUAGUUUCCGCUGUGAAUUUAGUCACAGAGCUUCAAAGGUUUAGAUUUGUAGUAUCUCAUGAUAUAUACAACUAUCUAAUUGCUGCUCUUUGUAUGGAGACUCGACCAUUUGCAGCCAAGGCUCUAUUGGAUCGAGUAUCUGGCAAUGGAUAUGAGCCUAACAAUAUGGUCUAUAGGGAGUUGAUUGAAUCUUUCUGCAGAUGGAAUUUCCCUGAUGAGGCCUUGUGUUUGAAAGCUGAGAUGGUGUUAAAAGAUUUGAAGCCCGAUAUAUGUACAUAUAGAGCUAUAAUUAAGAGUUUGUGUAAAUUAAGCCGAAGCAUGGAGGCUAAUUCCUUGAUGAGAGAAAUGACUGAUUUUGAUGUGCCGCCUGAUAUUGAAGUUUGUCGAGCUUUAGUAAAUGGGCAUUGCAGAGAAAACAAUUUCUGUGAGGCGCAAUCGCUGUUAAGCUUCUUUGCUCAAGAAUUUGGAAUAUUUGACACAGUUUGUUACAACGCAAUUAUCAGGCUUCUAAUCGCUGAAUGUGAUAUUGCCAAAUUGUUGAAAUUUCAAGAUAAAAUGAGGAAAGUGGGUUUUGUGCCAAAUCAGCUGACAUGCAAGUACGUAAUUGAUGGAUUACAGAAAGCUGUGAGAGUCCACAAAAUCAACACCCCAGUGCAGUAAUGAGGUAGACAUUUUACAUUGGAUGCUCCCUUUCUGGGAGCUAGGAAGCUUUGAGGACUAGAAAGAUAGUUUGGGAUGCAAUGGGUGAUGUUAGAUGCAGUGAAGGAGGCACUCUCUAGCUGGAAAUUUGGAAGAAGGAUGAGAAGUUGAAGAGCCUAGGAUGUUGCCUCACUAGUACUUGUUUGGGUCCUGUAGAAGGGAAGAAAUAGGAGAGCUUUUGAUGGGAUUGGGAACGACUAUGUACAUUUGAUGAAUAGCUUCUCUUUUCUAGUUUCUUUUUGGUGCACCCAUGAAAAUUCCAGUGUAUAGAAAAGAUCGGGCAUUGUUUGUAGAGAAUAUAUUAUGUUGUAAAUUCUCUGCCUUUUGGUAUACUGCUUCUAUACAACAAUUUUCCUCACUAUUAAUAAAACUUCUUUUACCUUAUAAAUGGAAAAAAUCUAAUAAUCAGUAUCUUCUUCUGAGUGAACCAGAGACUGGUUUUCUUUUUAAAUGGAAAAAAUCUAAGAAUCAGUAUCUUCUUCUGAGUGAACCAGAGACCGUGAUUUUCUUUGGGGAUCCCUUUGCUUGAUGUUUUGAGUCUACAGAAGACCAUUGGCUUUCCAUAUUGUGACAAUUUCUCCCUUCUUUCUAACAAUACUAUUUUUCAGAAGUUUCUUUGUUAUCACAUGUUAAAUACUCUUGAAUAUCCAAGAAAGCAGGAAGAAACAGAAAAAACUACUUUUAUUGUUUCUUACUUGUUUGAGAGUUGUUGGAUCUCUGAAAAUGGUGGUUAUGUACAGAAGUUACAUCUUAUAUUACAAGAAUUAAAACUAGUGGUUAUGUUCAUAUUAUUUCCAGUGUUACAUUAGCUCUUUCUAUUUCUGUAACUCUAUACAUGUCUUAUGCACAUUAAUCUUUCUAUUUCUGUAACUCUUUACAUGUCUUAUGCACAUUAAUUGUUAGUAUGAUUUCCAAAUGUUAAUUUUUGAUAUAUUUUCAAUAGAUACAGCACCUAUCAGAGAGGACCAAAGGGUGUUUUCAUUUUGCGGCAUAACUUUACUUAAUUCAAGGCAGGUAAACAUUUGACGGGCCUAGGCUGAGUUUCUAAUACAUUGUAUCAUUGGUUUGUGUGCUAGAGUUGUAGUCUUGUAGAUGACCAAAAGUCUCUCAAAAAUGGGAAAGAGAGGUAAUACUGAACAUUAAAGUUGGAUAUUAAGUGCAGAACUUUUUUCCUGAUAUUGCUUUAUAUUCAGCAUGCUUCAAUUGGCCUCACUUUUGCCUUUCGUCUUUGUAGGAUUUUAAUAUUGGAUUAUAAAUGGGAUAUACGAGGUACAAUAUAAUGCAGCAUAGUGCCGCUCGCAUACAUUGUUGAUCCGGAGAAUGGCGUCUCAUGGAGGUGGUUCUUUGAGAUAUUCAGAAAGGCUUUUGGUGAAAGCGCAAAUACGUGCGAUAGGCUGCGAGUAUUAUGAAGGUGACGUCAAUGGUGUAUGAUGCGGGUGCCUCACUGUGUAUGUAUGUGUCAUCUAUGGUAACAACAUUAGGCCUAAAUACUAGCGGAGUCAUCACAAGAUAAGGGGUUUAGACUUUGUCAUGGCUAGAGCAUACAGUUUAGAAGAGUUUAAUCAACACAUGGUAAAGGGUGAAUAGAUAGAUAAAAGGGUGAACGACAACUUGUUCAACCUUGGGUACUCUAGGUAGAUCUCGGGCACGUUCAAAGGUGAAUAAAACUUGGACAAUGACUUCAAAUAUUGUAGAGCUAGUGUACGCAACGAAUAAGGAUGCCAAAUAGCUGCCAGCAUUGCCGCUACUAGAGUUCAUGAGGCAACUUGUUGAACACUGGAAUAAUACUAACAGGAUGAAUGCAAAGGGGACAUUCACAUUUCUUUGAAAAGAAAUAAAACAACAUGCCGAAUUAUAACAUACUUUUAUCACAGCGGAUGAUGGUAAGAUUGUAUUCUACCAUAAGUAGUUUGAUAAACAGAAAUAAGGAAGAACUGGAUGUUCAGUUUGGAUGUACGUUUAGUGUAUAUCUUUUGUAUCUUUAUAUAUUUUCAGUUUAUUUUUUCGAAUGUC